AGUCACUGCCGAGUUUGAUCAUGGCUCAGAACGAACGCUGGCGGCAGGCCUAACACAUGCAAGUCGAGCGAACCCUUCGGGGUUAGCGGCGGACGGGUUAGUAACGCGUGGGAAUAUACCCUUUGGUACGGAAUAGCCUCGGGAAACUGAGAGUAAUACCGUAUGUGCCCUUCGGGGGAAAGAUUUAUCGCCAAAGGAUUAGCCCGCGUUGGAUUAGAUAGUUGGUGGGGUAAUGGCCUACCAAGUCUACGAUCCAUAGCUGGUUUGAGAGGAUGAUCAGCAACACUGGGACUGAGACACGGCCCAGACUCCUACGGGAGGCAGCAGUGGGGAAUCUUAGACAAUGGGCGCAAGCCUGAUCUAGCCAUGCCGCGUGGACGAUGAAGGCCUUAGGGUUGUAAAGUCCUUUCAGAUGGGAAGAUAAUGAAGGUACCAUCAGGAGAAGCCCCGGCUAACUCCGUG
rnacentral:rRNA from 1 species